GGCGGAAUCUAUAAUUUAUUGUGUUAUUAGAUUACAUUUAAUACUUUUAAUACUUCAAAUAUGUGUCCGUAUAU
rnacentral:miRNA from 1 species